rnacentral:ncRNA from 1 species
UUGGCAAAACUGUUGAAAGGCAGUGACGCAAAGCUGAGGAUCUAACCCAUAGGACAUUGAGGGAUCAUAUGGUAUGAUAGCCGGUUGCAG